rnacentral:rRNA from 1 species
GAUGAAUGCUGGCGGCGUGCCUAACACAUGCAAGUCGAGCGGCAGCGCGAGUAGUUUACUACUUGGCGGCGAGCGGCGGACGGCUGAGUAACGCGUGGGCACGUGCCCCAAAGUGAGGGAUAACGCACCGAAAGGUGUGCUAAUACCGCAUAUGAUCGUCGGAUUAAAGAAUUUAUUCGCUUUGGGAGCGGCCCGCGUCGGAUUAGGUAGUUGGUAGGGUAAUGGCCUACCAAGCCGACGAUCCGUAGCUGGUCUGAGAGGAUGACCAGCCAGACUGGAACUGAGACACGGUCCAGACUCCUACGGGAGGCAGCAGUGAGGAAUCUUCCACAAUGGGCGAAAGCCUGAUGGAGCAACGCCGCGUGCAGGAUGAAGGCCUCCGGGUUGUAAACUGCUUUUAUAAGUGAAGAAUAUGACGGUAACUUAUGAAUAAGCACCGGCUAACUACGUGCCAGCCGCCGCCGUAA